rnacentral:rRNA from 1 species
CCUCCCACCCUUUGUGUACCUACCUCUGUUGCUUUGGCGGGCCGCGGUCCUCCGCGGCCGCCCCCCUCCCCGGGGGGGUGGCCAGCGCCCGCCAGAGGACCAUCAAACUCCAGUCAGUAAACGAUGCAGUCUGAAAAACAUUUAAUAAACUAAAACUUUCAACAACGGAUCUCUUGGUUCUGGCAUCGAUGAAGAACGCAGCGAAAUGCGAUAAGUAAUGUGAAUUGCAGAAUUCAGUGAAUCAUCGAAUCUUUGAACGCACAUUGCGCCCUUUGGUAUUCCGAAGGGCAUGCCUGUUCGAGCGUCAUUACAACCCUCAAGCUCUGCUUGGUAUUGGGCACCGUCCUUUGCGGGCGCGCCUCAAAGACCUCGGCGGUGGCGUCUUGCCUCAAGCGUAGUAGAACAUACAUCUCGCUUCGGAGCGCAGGGCGUCGCCCGCCGGACGAACCUUCUGAACUUUUCUCAAGGUUGACCUCGGAUCAGGUAGGGAUACCCGCUGAACUUAAGCAUAUCAAUAAUGGG